UACGUAGGGCGCAAGCGUUGUCCGGAAUUAUUGGGCGUAAAGAGCUCGUAGGCGGUUUGUCGCGUCGGGAGUGAAAACAUCUGGCUUAACUGGGUGCUUGCUUUCGAUACGGGCAGACUGGAGGUAUGCAGGGGAGAACGGAAUUCCUGGUGUAGCGGUGAAAUGCGCAGAUAUCAGGAGGAACACCGGUGGCGAAGGCGGUUCUCUGGGCAUUACCUGACGCUGAGGAGCGAAAGUGUGGGGAGCGAACAGG
rnacentral:rRNA from 1 species